rnacentral:rRNA from 2 species
UGAACUCGCUGUGAAGAUGCAGUGUACCCGCGGCAAGACGGAAAGACCCCGUGAACCUUUACUAUAGCUUGACACUGAACAUUGAGCCUUGAUGUGUAGGAUAGGUGGGAGGCUUUGAAGUGUGGACGCCAGUCUGCAUGGAGCCGACCUUGAAAUACCACCCUUUAAUGUUUGAUGUUCUAACGUGGACCCGUAAUCCGGGUUGCGGACAGUGUCUGGUGGGUAGUUUGACUGGGGCGGUCUCCUCCUAAAGAGUAACGGAGGAGCACGAAGGUUGGCUAAUCCUGGUCGGACAUCAGGAGGUUAGUGCAAUGGCAUAAGCCAGCUUGACUGCGAGCGUGACGGCGCGAGCAGGUGCGAAAGCAGGUCAUAGUGAUCCGGUGGUUCUGAAUGGAAGGGCCAUCGCUCAACGGAUAAAAGGUACUCCGGGGAUAACAGGCUGAUACCGCCCAAGAGUUCAUAUCGACGGCGGUGUUUGGCACCUCGAUGUCGGCUCAUCACAUCCUGGGGCUGAAGUAGGUCCCAAGGGUAUGGCUGUUCGCCAUUUAAAGUGGUACGCGAGCUGGGUUUAGAACGUCGUGAGACAGUUCGGUCCCUAUCUGCCGUGGGCGCUGGAGAACUGAGGGGGGCUGCUCCUAGUACGAGAGGACCGGAGUGGACGCAUCACUGGUGUUCGGGUUGUCAUGCCAAUGGCACUGCCCGGUAGCUAAAUGCGGAAGAGAUAAGUGCUGAAAGCAUCUAAGCACGAAACUUGCCCCGA